UCUCCAGAAGAUGCUCUGGUGAACAUAUGGCCCCUCUCACCCCCACUAAAUUACUCAAUGAACACCCAGCUAUUUACAUACACUUGGAAAGAGAAAUUCCUCCUUGAAUUCACAGAGCUUGAGCUAGAACUAAGGGCACAGUAAUACAUGUAAAUAUGAUGAAAGUGCGGUUUGGUAAGUAUAUUCUUAACUAUGACAUUUUAUAAUUAAAUAUCUGUAACUACUGUAUUUUAUCUAAUCCUGAACAAUAUGGCCUUAUUGAUUCUAGAAAUAUUUGAUGCUGCAGGAACAGUAGAAAUGUCCAGGGAUGUGUUUCAAAUCAAGAAUGGAACCUCUGCUUGUUGUCAAUAGUUUUUCAGAUAAACUACUUCAACUUUGAUGACACUUUUGCACACUGAAAGCCCACUUGCCUGCAGAGCAGCAGUUGGACCUCACAGUGUGGAUUGUGCCUUCACUGGGAAGGUUCUGUGACGCCCAUCACCGUGGUGACGUGAGAGUAUAUAUCUCGGCCCCUCCUGCUGCCACUUGCCAUUCAACAUGGGAAACCUGAAGAGCCGAUUCAAAGCAAAGCAAUGUUUCUCCCGCUCCUGCUGCCCUUCAGUCGUCCCACGUCUCCCACCCAUCCCUCUC